rnacentral:rRNA from 2 species
GCUAUACUGCAGUCGAGCGAUCGAUGGGAGCUUGCUCCCUGAGAUUAGCGGCGGACGGGUGAGUAACACGUGGGCAACCUGCCUAUAAGACUGGGAUAACUUCGGGAAACCGGAGCUAAUACCGGAUACGUUCUUUUCUCGCAUGAGAGAAGAUGGAAAGACGGUUUACGCUGUCACUUAUAGAUGGGCCCGCGGCGCAUUAGCUAGUUGGUGAGGUAAUGGCUCGCCAAGGCGACGAUGCAUAGCCGACCUGAGAGGGUGAUCGGCCACACUGGGACUGAGACACGGCCCAAACUCCUACGGGAGGCAGCAGUAGGGAAUCUUCCGCAAUGGACGAAAGUCUGACGGAGCAACACCACGUGAACGAAGAAGGCCUUCGGGUCGUAUAGUUCUGUUGUUAGGGAAGAACAAGUACCAGAGUAACUGCUGGUACCUUGACGGUACCUAACCAUAAAGCCACGGCUAACUACGUGCCAGCAGCCGCGGUAAUACGUAUGUGGCAAGCGUUGUCCGGAAUUAUUGGGCGUAAAGCGCGCGCAAGUGGUUCCUUAAGUCUGAUGUGAAAGCCCACGGCUCAGCCGUGAAAGGUCAUUGGAAACUGGGGAACUUGAGUGCAGAAAAUGAAAGUGGAAUUCCAAGUGUAGCGGUGAAAUGCGUAGAGAUUUGGAGGAACACCAGUGGCGAAGGCGACUUUCUGGUCUGUAACUGACACUGAGGCGGCGAAAGCAUGGGGAAGCAACCGGAGUAGAUACCCUGCUAGUCCACGCCGUAAACGAUGAGUGCUAGUGUUAGAGGGUUUCCGCCCUUUA